rnacentral:lncRNA from 1 species
UAUGACGGGGGGAGACAGAGAGAAAGACGUUUGUUUCAUAAGACAACAUCGAGAACGAACUGGUUAAGAUCUUAGAGAGCAUGGAAGGAUCUCUGGUGCUUAUUUUGAUGCUGAAACAAAAUCAUUAAGAAGUGCUCCGCUUCUUUGCUCUUCGAUCGGAGAAGACGAAGAGGUAGAGGCUAGGAGAAUCUUAUCCUUCGACGGUUUGUUUUUGUGAUCUGGAGUGUGUCCAAAUAAAACUCCAAUAAAGCCCAAAUGGCAAGCUUUACGGAUGAAGCCCACAAGGUAUACUGCUCGACUUUGGACAAAAUAACACCGCAAGC